rnacentral:snRNA from 1 species
AGCUUUGCACGGUGGCAGUAUCGUAGCCAAUGAGGUUUAUCCGAGGUGCAAUUAUUGCUAAUUGAAAACUUUUCCCAAUACCCCUCCGUGACGACUUGCAAUAUAGUUGGCAUUGGCAAUUUUUGACAGUCUCUAUAGAGA